AUUGAACGCUGGCGGCAUGCCUUACACAUGCAAGUCGAACGGUAACAGGUCUUCGGAUGCUGACGAGUGGCGAACGGGUGAGUAAUACAUCGGAACGUGCCCGAUCGUGGGGGUUAACGGAGCGUAAGCUUUGCUAAUACCGCAUACGAUCUACGGUUGAAAGCAGGGGACCGCAAGGCCUUGCGCGGACGGUGCGGCCGAUGGCUGAUUAGUUAGUUGGUGGGAUAAAAGCUUACCAAGGCGACGAUCUGUAGCUGGUCUGAGAGGACGACCAGCCACACGGGAAGGGAGACACGGACAAGAGGACUACGGGAGGGAGCAGAGGGGAAUGGGGGACAAUGGGGGAAAGCAUGAUACAGCAAUGGCGAGUGAAGGAUGAAGGCGUUGGGGUUGGAAAGUGGGUUUGUAGGGAACGAAAAGACGCUGUCUAAGAAAGAGGGUGAAUGACGGUAACGUAAGAAUAAGCACCGGCUAACUACGUG
rnacentral:rRNA from 1 species